UUCGCAAUGCCCGAAAGGGUGACGAAGCGACGCCGCGUGGGUGAGGAAGGCCUUCGGGUUGUAAAGCCCUGUCAGGAGUUAAGAAAUGUAAGUGCGCUAAUAUCGCAUUUAUUUGACGAAGGCUCCAAAGGAAGCCACGGCUAACUCUGUGCCAGCAGCCGCGGUAAUACAGAGGUGGCAAGCGUUGUUCGGAAUUAUUGGGCGUAAAGAGCACGUAGGUGGGUUUGUAAGUCAGAUGUGAAAGCCUUCUGUUCAACGGAAGAAUUGCAUCUGAAACUGCGAGUCUUGAGUGUAGGAGGGGAGAAUGGAACUUCUGGUGGAGCGGUGAAAUGCGUAGAUAUCAGAAGGAACGCCGGCGGCGAAAGCGAUUCUCUGGCCUAUUACUGACACUCAGUGUGCGAAAGCUAGGGGAGCAAACGGGAUUAGAUACCCCGGUAGUCCUAACCGUAAACGAUGGGCACUAAGUAGAGGGGUUUU
rnacentral:rRNA from 1 species